UACGAAGGGGGCUAGCGUUGCUCGGAUUUACUGGGCGUAAAGCGCACGUAGGCGGCUUGUUAAGUCAGGGGUGAAAUCCUGGAGCUCAACUCCAGAACUGCCUUUGAUACUGGCGAGCUUGAGUUCGGGAGAGGUGAGUGGAACUGCGAGUGUAGAGGUGAAAUUCGUAGAUAUUCGCAAGAACACCAGUGGCGAAGGCGGCUCACUGGCCCGAUACUGACGCUGAGGUGCGAAAGCGUGGGGAGCAAACAGG
rnacentral:rRNA from 1 species